AAUUAAGCAUAAAUAUUUUAAUUCUAAAUAUAAUUUAAACUUCAACCUAACAUCAAAAUUAAAUAUAAACCCUAAACUAAUAACAUUAACAUCAAACGUCCAAAAUUAAUUUCCGCAUAGAAAUACAAACAAAAAUUAAAAAUAAAAUUAAAACUUUUAAUUUUACCUUUUUCUUCUUCUGUUCUUAACCGUGACCUUCACCUUCACUGUGAUCCUUAUCUCCUCCCUCACCUUCUUCCUUCACUGUGACCUUCAUCUCCCUGCUUCGUCGUUCACUUCGAGCCAAAGUCGAAUCCUACUCUGAAGUCGUUGCAGGAAAUAGAUCGAUGCCGAAGUCGUCAUAAAUGGAUGGGUCAAGUUUCUGGCGAUGAGGGCUGUAAAUCGAUGCCCGUUUGUGGAUGCUCCAUUGUCGUCGUUCGUGGUGCCUAGGUCGAACGUAGAUACCUCAGAUCUCGCUAAUGAGGUGGGUGCUGAGCUUCACUCGGGGAAGGAACUUCAAUCGUCAGAUCUGGACUUCAAUCGUAAGAACUCAGGCAGACGGGGACAAUGACAACAAUUGGUAGGGGUCUCUAGUUUUCUGACAAGGACUGGUGCGAGGGGGUUAUGCUGAUUGAGGGGCGCCUAGAGUUAUGGUCUGCUUUGACGGGAUAAAGGCACCAUCGAUAGUGGGUGGGGAGCUUCAGUCAACGACGGUGGAAUGCUUCAAGGGGGAGGAUCUGUUGAGCGGAGAAUCGAGUUGGGCGGCAACAACACUGAUCUUAAAUCUGCUCCAUCUCUGGCCAAGGAAGGUGACGACAACAGAGGACGAUUCAACAAAAGCUUGAUUAUUUUUCUUUUAUUCCAUUGGGUCUUGGUUUUUAAUGCAUAUGGUUUGAUGUUUGAGGAAGACGAACAAACAAAGGGUUUGGGUUUUGAUUUUGCACUGUGAUUUUGAUUUUGAAAUCUGGGUUUGGCAUUCUGGGUUGCAAGUCAUGUUCUUCUACCGAUAAAGUUUUGAUUUAUUUAUUAUACAGGAUUUGUUGGUUUUGAGUUCAUAGAAUUGUUGAUGUUGUGAUUUUGAUUUUUGAUUUCUGUUGAUGUUAUGAGUUUCUAGGUUCUGUGUUCA